CAGGCUGGAUUGCGGUGUGGUUUAGGAAUUCCUACUAUGUGUCCCAGGCGAAUCUUUGAAUAUACCACACCACCUAUUCAAAGGAAAAAAUGAGAACUUGAUGACCCAAGUAGCACCCAGAAGUGGAUUCAAAGCAUUCUAAAACGCGAUUAUUACACCUGGGGACAGAAGGUAUCGUUACAGCUUGAGGCAUUCUUUGCACCAUCUGGGUAUAUUGUUCGGCACCAAUGGGUGCUAGAAAACCUAACUUGGCAAGUACAUGUAUUAAGUAAUUAGACUCGAUAUGCCUUUGGAGAACUAAAUCUCCAAGUGCAACAGGUAUCAAAAAUUACAUUACAGAAUCGUUUAGCCUUAGAUAUGUUAUUGUGAAAAGAACAAGGUGUGUGUGGUAUGUUAAACUUGACUGAAUCUGAAUGUUGUAUUACCAUUCAUAAUGCCACGACCUCAAUUGAAGAAGCCCGGGCAAAGAUGAAGAUUGCCGACCAGACGAGAGAACUCUUCCAUGCAAUGCAACCAGCUGACUGGUUUGAUGGCUGGAAUCCAAACUCAUGGCUACAUUCCAUUUUAGGAUCCUUGGGACUGAUGGGAUGGGGGAAAUGGCUUGUAAAUAUUGGACUUAUGAUAUUAAUUGGAUUUAUAUGUUUAAUAGCAGGCCUUGCCAUAGUAAGAUGUAUGAUUAGCCGCUUGCUAUCCUCAGCUGUCUCUCUCUCUUCUCCUACUGUCCGCUAUA